AACGUAGGGCGCAAGCGUUAUCCGGAGUUACUGGGCGUAAAGCGCGAGCAGGCGGCUCGACAAGUUCGAUGUGAAAGCGCCCGGCUCAACCGGGCGAGGCCAUUGGAAACUAUCGAGCUGGAGGGCAGUAGAGGCAGGCGGAAUUCCGGGUGGAGUGGUGAAAUGCGUAGAGAUCCGGAGGAACACCAGAGGCGAAGGCGGCCUGCUGGGCUGCACCUGACGCUGAGCCGCGAAAGCCAGGGGAGCGAACGGG
rnacentral:rRNA from 1 species